GGCCGAGUGGCGGAAUGGCAGACGCUCGGGAUUUAAAAUCCCGUGCCCGUAAUUGGGCGUGUGGGUUCGACUCCCACCUUGGCCA
rnacentral:tRNA from 1 species